AUUGAACGCUGGCGGCAGGCUUAACACAUACAAGUCGAGCGGGGAAGUAUAGAUUGCUAUACGACCUAGCGGCGGACGGGUGAGUAAUGCUUAGGAAUCUGCCUAUUAGUGGGGGACAACAUUCCGAAAGGAAUGCUAAUACCGCAUACGCCCUACGGGGGAAAGCAGGGGAUCUUCGGACCUUGCGCUAAUAGAUGAGCCUAAGUCAGAUUAGCUAGUUGGUGGGGUAAAGGCCUACCAAGGCGACGAUCUGUGGCGGGUCUGAGAGGAUGAUCCGCCACACUGGGACUGAGACACGGCCCAGACUCCUACGGGAGGCAGCAGUGGGGAAUAUUGGACAAUGGGGGGAACCCUGAUCCAGUCAUGCCGCGUGUGUGAAGAAGGCCUUAUGGUUGUAAAGCACUUUAAGCGAGGAGGAGGCUACUAAGACUAAUACUCUUGGAUAGUGGACGUUACUCGCAGAAUAAGCACCGGCUAACUCUGUGCCAGCCGCCGCUGUAA
rnacentral:rRNA from 1 species